ensembl:lncRNA
AGUGCUAGUCACUCAGUUGGGUUUAAUUCUGUGACCCCAUGGACUAUACCCUGCCAGGCUCCUCUGUCCAUGGAAUUCUUCAGGCAAGAAUACUGGAAUGGGUAGCCUUUCCCUUAUCCAGGGGAUCUUCCCCACCCAGGGAUCCAACCCAGGUCUGCUGCAUUGCAGGCGAUUCUUUACCAGCUGAGCCACAGGGAAGCCCAAUUAAUAAGGGCACUUUUAAAAGAGAGACAGACAGGAAAAAAAAAAGAUUCAAAGCAAAAAAUUAAAACCCCAAACCCCUCUACUGCCUUACCAAAAUUAUCCCUGAGAAACAAUUACAUCGGCUGCUCUAUUCCUACUGUGGAGUAAGGGCCCCGAAGACAACUGUGGAGGAGGGAGCUGCCUGGAUUUUGCCCACAUUCUGAGUCUCUAGCCUCAGUUAAGAAAGAAAAAAACCUGUAGCAAUUAACCGUAGGAUACUGCAUGUGUCCUUUCGGUUUCAUUACUCAGAAACCUCACCCAUAACACAUGGCUGUAAAAACCUGCUCGCCUUUCAACUUUUAAGGAGCAGAGCAGGUUUCCGGAGGAACCAGACUCAAGGGGAGCCCCAGGGAAGAGCCAAAGCAGCUGGGAAUUUGAUACCCCGGUGCUCCAAAGCUAAAAGAAGAAUUAGAAGAAAGCUGCAUGAAUAAAGAUGGGAUCCUUCAUGAUACAGAAAAGACCUCAGCAGAGCAGUACGAAAGAGAAGCAGCUAAGAGGGAAAAGGAUUCUCUUGAGCAAAAGAUUAAAGAGCUGCUACAAAUGUUAGAGAACCAAGAAAGAGCCUUCAAGAUAUUUAGAGUCAAAAUCACCAGCAAGAUGAGAGAAAGAGACAAGCUUCUGAGAAGGAUGAACAAGAGGAUUGAGAGGCUGGAGAUCUUAAGAAAGAUAAGGGAAGAACAAGAGGAAUACUACAUGAAGAAAGAGGAGCAGAUCAAAAGAGAGGCAAGUGAGAGGGAAAAAGACCCUUCUGAGCGAAAGGUUAAAGAGCUGCAGCGACAGUUGGAGAACCAAAAGAGAGUUUUGGAGAGAUUAACAGCCAGAGUGAGAAAGGAGAUAAGAGAAAGAGAGAAGACCUCAGCAGAAGAGUGGGCCAGAGGAGAGGCAACUGAGAGGGCAAAGGAACCUCUUGAACAAAAGGCUAAAGAAUUACAGUCAAAGAUGGAGGGCGACAGAAGUGCCAUCUUGAAGGAAGUUAGACUCAAAACGACAAAGAUGAGAGAAAGAGAAAACCUUCUAAGAAGGAUGAACGAGAGGUUUGAGAUGUUGGAGAUCUUGGGGAUGAUAAAGGACGAGCUAGGGGAAUGCUGCAAGAAGACAGAUGAGCUUUGUAAUGCAGCCAAGACCUUGGCAGAAUGCACUAAAGGAGAGCCAUCUGAGAGGGAAAAGGAGCUUCUUGAGCAAAAGUAUAAGGAGAUAAGUCAAAAGGUGGAGGACCAAAAAAAAGACUUCGAAGAAUGUGUAGGCAAAAUGAUAGAGAAAACAAGAGAAAGACAAAAGAUUUCAGCAGAAAUGCUGGCCCAAUGGGAGGAUGCUAUGUGGGAAAAGAAGCAAAUGGUUAAAGAAUUGCAGCAAAAGUUGGAGGACCGAGAAAAAACGUUCGAGAGAUUUAGAGACAAACUCACAAAGGAAAUGAGAGAAAGAGACGACCUUCUGAGAAAGAUGAAUGAGAGGAUUCAGAUGCUGGAACGCUUACUGAGGUUACUAGAAACACUAGAGGAACAGGACAUGAAGAAAGAAGAGCAGGCCAAAAGAGAGGCAGCUGAAAGGGAAAACGAGCCUCUUGAACAAAAGGUUAAAGAACUGCAGCAAAAAUCGGAGAACCAAGAAAAAGUCUUCGAAGUAUUAAGAGACAAAAUGACAGAGGAGUUGAAUGAAAGAGAGAAAGCCUCAGCAGAAGAGCAGAUCAGAAGAGAGGCUGUUGAGAGGGAAAAUGAGUCUCUUGAAAAACAGGUUAAAGAAUUGCAGCAAAAUUUGGAGGACCAAGGAAGAGUCUUCCAGAGAUUAAGAACUGAAAUGACAGAGGAGAUGAGAGAAAGUGAAAACGUCUCAGCAGAAGAGCAGAUCAGACGAGAGGCCACUGAGAGGGAAAAGGAGUCUCUUGAAAAACAGGUUAAAGAAUUGCAGCAAAAUUUGGAGGACCAAGGAAGAGUCUUCCAGAAAUUAAGAACUGAAAUGACAGAGGAGAUGAGAGAAAAUGAAAAGGCCUCAGCAGAAGAGCAGGCCAAAAGAGAGGCUGCUGAGAGGGAAAAGCUUUUAGAGCAAAAGCUUAAAGAAUUGCAACAAAAGUUUGAGGACCAAGAAAGAGCCUUCAAGGUAUUUAGAGUCCAAAUGACAGAAAAGGUGAGAGAAAGAGACAAUUUUCUGAGAAAGAUGAAUGAGAGGAUUGAGAUGCUGGAGGCUGCAGUGAACAAUGAUAAUGACAAGGAUAAUGAGGAAAACACUGAAAAGUACUGAACUUCAUAGACACAGGAAGAUAAUGACAAAGAAAAUACUUCACAGCCUUUUGUUUUAAUCUCAGUUUGGGAGAAUAUAAAACAUGUGUGGUCACUAAUUACUCAGAUUUUUUGUUUGUUUCUUUUAAAUUCUGGUAAUAUUAAAGUUUUCACAAGUGCUUUUUUGAUCUGGAUUAUUUCUAUCUAUGUAUGUACUUUUUCUUUUAUCAUUAAAGUUUUAAUGUAAAAAAUAGAAAAAUCAUCUACUAUAGAACAUCAAUUCCUGGCCCACAAAGGAAAGAAUUAGUGUGGCUGGAUAAUUAAUUUAAGUGGAAAUGGAAGCAACUGAGUAGAAGACAAAGAGGUCAAAUUUGUAAUAUCUUGAAAAAAAGAAAAAUUUUAUUAAGUAAUGCUUCUGAAAGUCACAUAUGAAUAAUUAUACAAAUGAAUAUGUAUACUGGUUUCUUGAGAGGAAAGGACUAAUUUCUUAUACAAAACAACUGUGUUACUUCACUUGUAAAUUUUAUGUGUUUUGAGUUAAAAUUUCACAAAAGCUGAUUGUAAAUUUUAAAUUGAGCUGAUCAAACACAUUAAAAAGCCAUGAAAAUUCAGAAGGGGUACAGGGUUUGGGAAGUUUUCAGCCAUAAUUUCUUCUAUAAAUGAAGUUUAUAGAACUGCAGUCAUUAGAACAAUGUGCCAUCAAGGCAUAAAUCUGAAGACAAAGAAUAACAGCAUGCUGCAUAGUCUAAAAAUAGAACCAACAACAUACCUGAUUAAGGUUGUGUGAAUAGUGUUGUUUCAGAUCAGUGAGACAAUAUAAACAGUACAUGAAGUGCUGUCAGUCUACUGGACAGCCAUAUAGAAUGAGAGUGCCUAGAUCGCUUAUAAAUCUUGCACAAAUAAUAUUCCAGCUUGACUUUAGAUUUAAACAUUAAAAAUAAUCUUGAUAAAAACAGUAAAUGUCAGAUAAUUAUAAAAUAAAUGUGGAAACUUGAAUUUAUUUUUAAGUGAC